GCCGGGCAUGGUGGCUCAUGCCUGUAAUCCCAGGUACUUGGGAGGCUGAGGCAGGAGGACUGCUUGAGCCCAGGAGUUUGAGGCUGUAGUGAGCUAUGAUUCCCCCACUGCAGUCCAAUCUGGGUAACAGAGCAAGACCCUGUCUCAU
ensembl:misc_RNA Metazoa_SRP Metazoan signal recognition particle RNA